rnacentral:tmRNA from 1 species
GGGGGCGACUGGAUUCGACACGAUAGGUCUGAGGGAAGAAGCAGGCCGAGGUCUCCUCGCCUCGUUAAACAGGGGUACCGACGCUUAAACGUCGACAAUAAUUACGCCCUCGCUGCUUAAUUAAGUAGCGACGUCGCCCGGUGAGCGUCCCCGUCACCGGCCCCGACGUCACUCAGGGGACUACCGGGAUCGCUGAUGAUGGUGUGCGAUCAGGGAAUGUGAUCCAUCUAGGGAAGGGUACGCCGGUCACGGCGCGUCACCCCGACCGAAACCCAAGCGGUGACUGAGCCUGGAGAUGCUUCCUAGGGGUCUAUUGUGGACCGGAGUUCGAUUCUCCGCGCCUCCACCA